rnacentral:misc_RNA from 1 species
AACGCACCUUGCGCUCCUUGGUAUUCCGAGGAGCAUGCCUGUUUGAGUGUCAUGAAUUCUCAACCUUCAACACUUUAUUGUGUUGCUUGAGGUUGGUCCUUGAGUGUUUGCGGACUGUAACAGGCCCGCUCACUUUAAAUGUAUUAGCUGGACCGCAUCUACGAUGCUCGGGUUACUACUCAACGUGAUAAGUUUCAACGUUGAGGAUGGCGCAAGCCAGCCUGACAUCGAUGCACAUGUCUGCUUCUAACCCGGCGACGACAGGCAACUGUCCGACCCACACUUAAUGCUCUGGCCUCAAAUCAGGUAGGAUUACCCGCUGAACUUAA